GCAAGUCGAGCGCACCCUUCGGGGCGAGCGGCGGACGGGUUAGUAACGCGUGGGAACUUGCCCUUCUCUACGGAAUAGCCUCGGGAAACUGAGAGUAAUACCGCAUACGCCAUUUUGGGGAAAGAUUUAUCGGAGAAGGAUCGGCCCGCGUUAGAUUAGAUAGUUGGUGGGGUAAUGGCCUACCAAGGCUACGAUCUAUAGCUGGUUUGAGAGGAUGAUC
rnacentral:rRNA from 1 species